rnacentral:lncRNA from 1 species
AAACGUGCUGAAAUUCGCUGUUGGCUUGCUGCUGCCCCCUCCUUCUCCCUGUUUCCAUUGGUUGAUCAUUGAAUCUGCGCUCCACAGAUGCUGGCUGUUUAGGUCUGGCGUGCACGUGCUUAACUCCAGGUCAAACUACUCGGAGUUGUUAAAACCGUCUCAAAUCAGGUAUUGUGAAACCGGAAACUCAGAGUUUCCUAACUCAGAGUAGAUCAACUCAGAGUUAAGGAUUUAACUCAGAGUUUGUUGAACCACCUACGUGAAACGGACCCCAGUUUCAAGGGUUUGGAUAGACAAAGGACUAGUCCAACAGAAACACAAGGGGGAAACUAAGGUGACUACAAACUUAACAUAUACCAAACUCAGACAAAACACCAUCAAUUUAUCCAAACCAACUUAUUUACAGAAAAAAAGACUCUGUACUGACUGAAAGAAUAAAGUCAAAAGUUUGAUAAAGAAUUUUAAGUCCAAGCUUCCCCUUGCUUCCCCCUUGAUGGUCUGUCCCACUUCCUGUGGGUAAAGCUUAAGAGGCCAUCUUGGAGCAGCAGACAGCCUUUUCUCAGGUAAGAUUAAGCAAAGACAAACAAAAAGGUAAGUAUUACUUUGAAAUGACAUAAAUUCAAGUUAAAUCAUGAUGUAGAAAACUUAACCAAUGGCACAUUUUGGUAACUUAAUUCUGUGCACCCAAAUUAGAAAACAACUGCCAUAAAUGCAAUAAAAGUGAAUUUAUUUCAACAACAAAAGUGUGUAAUGUGUUUUUUUUUUUUUUUAAAUGAAACAAAUAUACUGUGUUAAAACCCAAAGACAAAUACAUACUCUCACGAGGUGGUGGUUGAGGCCACCCCAACGCCAAACCAAACUGAAAACCUAUCUAAAACUAAAACUUAACUAAAACGGAUCUACACAGUGAACAAAAAAAAAAAAAGAGUGAGACAUGUUAUGAGGGCACAUUAUUAUUAUACCUGAGAAGAAUUUAGGUAUUUGCACUUUUGAUAUAAAUAUAAAUGUAUAUUACCUGUCAAUGUUCCACAUUAAGGUAACAUUGAGUUAUUGUCAAUGAGUUGUGAUGAAAAAAAUCUGGAUUGCUGGGAGCAGGCCUGGCUAAACAUUUAGACUGCAGCAGGAAGGACUUGGUAUCUCUCUGUCACACACCGCGGCUGCAGAAGUCUGUCACUGAAGGAACUUCCCAGUGUUGUUACAGUGUUCUGGAGGAGGUGGGAAAUAUCCCACUGAGCAAAAGACGUAUAUUAGACGUCUAGUCUAAAUUUAUACUUCAUUUCAACGUCGGGAUUUGGUCUAUUUCUAGACGUGAUUUAUACUCCGCCCUCAACUUUAUUUUCGAUAACUUUUUAUGCAAUAAACAACUGUUAUGUGCAUAACUGACCUCUAAAUACUGGAUUAAAUUACUUAUGAUACCAUGAAGAGAUAUGCAGCAUAGAAUAGAUGUAGACGUCAUUUACACGUAUAAAUUUAUACUUCAUUUCAACGUCUGGAUUCAUCUUUUUUUAGACGUGAUUUAGAUGUAAAAAUGUAUACGUCAUUUCAACGUCUACAUAUAGACCGAAUCUAGACAACCGAUUUUAAUCCACAAUUCAAGAGUUGAUUAUUUAAAAUGAUAACUGAACGUUGCAGAACUGAUAUCAAUCUAUGGGACUACUGUCAUACUCCAGAGUGUGACCAGUGUUUUCGCCAUAUCCGGUCAAAACGCAUAUACGGCAAAAAAAACAAAAAAAAAACAACUUUGGAUCUUAAAGCCUGGGUCCUGCUGAGUACUAGACAACAAAGUUGGUCGCUGAAAUUCAAUUUAAUUAUUAGAUUUCAUGUGUUUUAUCCGUCUUGGUAACACCGGCUGCCGCCGUGACAAUAAUCCAGCCACCUUAUAGGUGGAGCACGCUCACGUGACCCACUGUGCAACCACUUCAGGUAGAUUCUUAUUCCACCAAGAGCGAAGUAGUCCCUGAUAAAAGUUAUCGGCAUAGCCGCAAGAACACGAGAUGAGUGACAAAAAGUAUUUGGUAUCUCUGCAAGAGCCCAGCUUCCCAGCGUUCAUUUCAGUGAACCGGAUCAUUCCGGGUCGUUCAGUAAAAAGACCCGUUCAUUUUGGUCAAUCGGUCGUUAGUCAGUCCGCUCGUUCAUGUUGUUCACGUUCGAACGAACGUGAUGAGCGAACGGACUGACUGCACUUCAGACUCAACAGCGCAACAACCAUAGACUGUAUAUAAGAUGGACAGAGUCUGCCUCCUCGCUGGGUGAAGCCACUCCGAGAACAGCACCCUCUGAUGGUGGGCUGCAGUACAGAUCAUAAAUCCCGCCUCCACCAGCAGAGCUUAUGGAGUUGUGGACAAACUUUAGAAAUGUAUUACACAGAACAUAAAUUUUUCUCCCCCCUGCUUGUGAUGUUGACAUGUAGUUACAGUAAGACUGGUUUGUGCCCAAGUCCUUUUUUUCUGUACAGCUCUGUUUUUAAAAGUUAUUAGGGGGUUCAUGUUUUCUAUGAUUGACACCUGGUAUAGCCUAUGGGCGUUCACGGAUAGCGUAGCUCUUCCAGGGGAUACGCUGUUUGAGCCGAGCGUCAUCACAGCGACUCUCGGCGACUGCGCAGCCGAAUGCGCACAACGCUACUGCACAGCUCUGGUUUCAAGGAAGUGGAGAAAAACCCGGAAUUACCGAGAGCUUUUUGGCUUCAAAUCCGUAUACAGGCGGAAGGCGGAACCACAUUGUCCAUCUUAUAUACAGUCCAUGGCAACAACAUGUGAUCUUGAAAUCUGAAGCAUUACACCCCUCCGAAUCCGACGUUGCGAGCGUCUCAGCUCCCCGGUCCGACGUUACGACCCCCCGCGGUCCGACGCUGUGACCGCUGCACUCCCCACUUCCCACCCCCCGGUCCAACGCUGCGAUCGCGCUGCACUCCUUGUAAUAUAAAAUUAUAGUAGGAAUAACAAAAUAUAUAAGGUUUUUUAAUGGCUUUUAUUAUUUUGAGGUGCAUUAAAAACAAUAAUAAAAAGUACAAAAUGUCAACAGACAGUGCAAAUGCGUAUUAAUAGUUGUCUCUCUGCCUCUGGCUGCAGCAGCAGCUGUGUGCCUUUGUGUGUGUGUGUGUGUGUGUGUGUGUGUGUGUGUGUGUGUGUGUGUGUGUGUGUGUGUGUGUGUGUGUGUGACUGUCCCGCUCGCUCGGGCUCGGCUGUCGGCUCGUGCGGCGGCCAGUCAACUCGGUCUUUCGUUCAACACGUUCAUCCGUCUGGGUCUUUCGUUCAACUCGGUCUUUCAGUCAACUCGUUCAUCCGUCUGGUGCUGCGUCGGAAUUGCCCGCUCGCAUACUACAUGCUACUGCUAGAUCCUACUCCUACAUACUAAACACGUUGGCCCAAUUCGGACACACUAGACGAGCGGUGGGGAAAGACGACCCCCGCAGGCAGAGAGUAGGUACUGCGCCCGUUUUAGACUGAAUGGUAAUUGUGCAAGUGAUGGAUGCUGCUGUAUUAUAUUCUUGCACUGCUUUAGAAAUUCACAAAGUAGCUUUUCCAUUACUUUUAGCCUUCAUUCACUCACGUGGUGAUCGUUUGUUCAAUGAGAUCUGCCUGAUUACUGCAGCUGUGCAGUUUAAUGAUGGAAUAAGUGAGCUUUACCUCCAUGAUGUCGCCACAUAUUUGCUCAUAAAAUGAUUACUUGGGCAAAUAUGACACCAUGACAUGACAAAGAGAUACAACCGCACAUUUUUUAGGACAGUGUGUGAAGUUACAUGAAACUUACAUCUGUACUGCUGCGGUCCCGCCUGCUGCUGCUGCUGCUGCUGCUCCGACGUGGUGCGCGCUGCUGUGGCCAGCCGGCGUUCGCGACACAUUUAAAUAGACAGAGCAGCUGGUGGCGCUAGCAUCACAUGAGCUUCUUCAACUUUUAAGAGGACGAAGAAGAAGCCCGCGGUGCAUUUUGGGUCAGUAGCAUGCCCGUAGGAUGCACCGAGACCAACCUACAAUGUGGGCGUGUCUAGUAUCUGAAGUAGUAUCUGAAGUAGCAUGCUACUCGCUCCGGUGGCCAAUUCGGACAUGCUAGAUACUACUUCGACUACUACUUGGCAAUUCGGACGCAGCUCCGGUCUUUCAGUCAGCUCAGUAGUACUGCUGCUGCUUCUCUAAGCCCCACCCACACACAGAACGAGGCGCGACGAUAGGAUAGGACAGGCAAGCACGGAGAUAGUCCCUCUUCAGCCAAUCAAAAGAACUGAACGGACUGAACGGGUCAUUUAGGGGUGGAGAACUAGUUCAUUUCGUUCACCAAAAAGAACUAGUUCUUUUGAUCCGUUCGUUCAAGACCAACACACCACUACACUCGACCUCACGACCGUCGGACUACACUAGAAGUUCCAGUCGUUCCAGAGUUCGAGAAUUAUACUUUCAGCUGAGAAGAGGUGGGUGCUGAAGGAGAUAUUAUAGAAAAUGUUUAUUUUUGCAAGCUUUAGUCCCCCCAAACUCGAGUUCGCAUG